rnacentral:rRNA from 1 species
GAUGAACGCUGGCGGUAUGCUUAACACAUGCAAGUCGAACGGACUCUUCGGAGUUAGUGGCGGACGGGUGAGUAACGCGUGAGAAUCUGGCUUUGGGUUCGGGACAACCACUGGAAACGGUGGCUAAUACCGGAUGUGCCGAGAGGUAAAAGAGAAAUUGCCUGAAGAUGAGCUCGCGUCUGAUUAGCUAGUUGGUGAGGUAAAGGCUCACCAAGGCAGCGAUCAGUAGCUGGUCUGAGAGGAUGACCAGCCACACUGGGACUGAGACACGGCCCAGACUCCUACGGGAGGCAGCAGUGGGGAAUUUUCCGCAAUGGGCGAAAGCCUGACGGAGCAAUACCGCGUGAGGGAAGAAGGCUCUUGGGUUGUAAACCUCUUUUCUUAGGGAAGAACAAAAUGACGGUACCUAAGGAAUCAGCAUCGGCUAACUCC